CUGGGCCCGAAAGUUCCCCAGACUUGAAGGAAUCUUGUGCUACAACAUCAACAACCUCAACAACACCACAGAGUACGAAUACGUCAACAAGACCUGCUAGCCAACCGGCAUCACAAAUGGCAAGCUAUCCACAGAUCCGAAAAGCAUCGACACAAAAGUCACCAACCCGGACAAGGACCCGAGGAUAACAAGAUAAUUUACGAAUGGAUCCAUUGGGC